rnacentral:rRNA from 1 species
UACAGGGGGGUGCAAAACGUUGCUCGGAAUCAUUGGGCGUAAAGCGCACGUAGGCGGUCUGUUAUGUCGGAUGUGAAAGCCCUUGGCUCAACUGAGGAAGUGCAUCCGAAACUGGCAGGCAGAGUACUAAAGAGGAUCGCGGAAUUCCCGGUGGUAGAGGUGAAAUUCGUAGAUAUCGGGAGGAACACCGGUGGCGAAGGCGGCAUCUGGGUAGAUACUGACGCUGAGGUGCGAAAGCGUGGGGAGCGAACAGG